rnacentral:rRNA from 1 species
GACGAACGCUGGCGGCGUGCUUAACACAUGCAAGUCGAACGGAAAGGCCCUGCUUUUGUGGGGUGCUCGAGUGGCGAACGGGUGAGUAACACGUGAGUAACCUGCCCUUGACUUUGGGAUAACUUCAGGAAACUGGGGCUAAUACCGGAUAGGAGCUCCUGCUGCAUGGUGGGGGUUGGAAAGUUUCGGCGGUUGGGGAUGGACUCGCGGCUUAUCAGCUUGUUGGUGGGGUAGUGGCUUACCAAGGCUUUGACGGGUAGCCGGCCUGAGAGGGUGACCGGCCACAUUGGGACUGAGAUACGGCCCAGACUCCUACGGGAGGCAGCAGUGGGGAAUAUUGCACAAUGGGCGGAAGCCUGAUGCAGCAACGCCGCGUGCGGGAUGACGGCCUUCGGGUUGUAAACCGCUUUUGCCUGUGACGAAGUGUGAGUGACGGUAAUGGGUAAAGAAGCACCGGCUAACUACGUG